UCAGGACGAACGCUGGCGGCGUAGCCUAACACAUGCAAGUCGAGCGAGGAGAGUCCUUCGGGAUGAUCCUAGCGGCGGACGGGUGAGUAACACGUGGGCAACCUGCCUCAUAGAGAGGAAUAGCCUUCCGAAAGGGAGAUUAAUACCUCAUAACAUUGCAGUUUCGCAUGGAACAGCAAUUAAAGGAGUAAUCCGCUAUGAGAUGGGCCCGCGGCGCAUUAGCUAGUUGGUGAGGUAACGGCUCACCAAGGCGACGAUGCGUAGCCGACCUGAGAGGGUGAUCGGCCACAUUGGGACUGAGACACGGCCCAGACUCCUACGGGAGGCAGCAGUGGGGAAUAUUGCACAAUGGGGGAAACCCUGAUGCAGCCAACGCCGCGUGAGUGAUGACGGCCUUCGGGUUGUAAAGCUCUGUCUUCAGGGACGAUAAUGACGGUACCUGAGGAGGAAGCCACGGCUAACUACGUGCCAGCAGCAGC
rnacentral:rRNA from 1 species